rfam:Glycine max cultivar Williams 82 chromosome 20, whole genome shotgun sequence.
CUAUUAUUGGACAUUAAUGGUCAGACGUCAUACUUUUAUUGGAUAUUAAUUUCGUACACCUAAUUAGGUGGACAUCCGAUAAAAGUAUGACACGUGACGAUCAACGUCC